UUUGUCCUGAUUUAGAUUCUAAAACAAGCCCGUUUGUUCAGGAGUCUACAAGAUUCAUUGUCUGUUCCUUGAUGUGACUGGGUCAUCGGAAGACUCUGAGUCAUCGUGGGUCCUCUGCUCCCUCUCUCACCUGGAUCAGGUGCUAAGACCCCAUUAGCCAACUCUAAACUGUAAGAUCUACCAGCAACGACAACAACAAAAACAACAACAACAACAACAACAACAAACCCAAAAGCCUGGAAGUGAAGCAUCACAAAAAAACAUUCUAAAGCUUUGUCUUUGUUUAAGGGAGACAUGGAAGAAGAUAAUGGCAGGCAAACUGGGAUAUAAUGUAUAUGAUCUAUAAUGUACAGCCACAGAUGAUAGAACCUAUACAUGCCAUAACUAAGCACAUAAGGAAAGGAAGAAAGUCGUCUUUCCGAGCAUCAGCUUCCUUCUGUAUCCCACAGCCGUGUGGACUUUGAUUAACACACAAAGUGCAAAUUUCCAAUUAUAGAUAUCAUUUAGCCACCAUGGCACCAUGAGGGGAAAGAAAAAAAAAAAAAACAUAGUGAAAAUCGAAUCAAAGGCAGUACAUGAAUCAUCAACUCGGAACUCAGACCUCAAAGAUGUCCUGGGCGACCUCAGUAAGUCCGGUGGAUUCUCUGUCGGGUUAGAAAUAUUAACAUGAAUCUCACGGAUCCUGGCAUCACCUGGAAAAGCACGUGUUGCUUUUCAACAACACACUACGAGAACUUCCACAAGCACUUAAUCUUCG
rnacentral:lncRNA from 1 species